GCGUAGAAGGCUGAAGCAGGUGUUUGGAGUUAGUGAUUGGGUGAUUGUGUACAGGUGGAAGUCAUGCAAUCAAGCUACUCCUGCUCCACUUUAUAAUCAGACACCACUCUGUCCUGGAGUUAUGACUCCUGCCUGCUUCUGUUCCCGGAUUCUCCGUUUGGAUUUCUGCCACCCUUCCAUCCUGAAACCACCUGGAGAAAGCACCUGCUGCCGGCCAAAGCCUCGCCACCUGAGACGCCAUCACCGUCUAGGUGGACAACAGUCUGUGGAAAAGCCAGGAUUCCCUCCGUAGCUCACACCUCCACUUCAGCUACUCCACCGCUGCUUAAACAUCUCAGGAGAAGACUCUCCUACCUGGACUGGUUGAGCCUGGUCUCCCCCUCCAUUCCGAACUCCAUCCCUUUGUAGCAGUCAGUUAAGUCUCUGUUCCUGAGCAUUACCAGACUACUGUUUUCCUAUGUUAGUAUUUACAGUUGUUCUUAAUUCGUAUCCUGUAGUCUCAGGUUAACGUCGUAGUUUGUAAGUAGUUAUUUGUUCUGGGGUUAGUUGUUUUAGGAUUACUGUGAGCGUUAAUUCUGGUUGUGUCUAGUUUUCCUAUAUUUGGGAUUCCUGCCUUGGUGUUACCAAAUGUAGGUUUUCAUGUUUUUGUUUGUGUAACUAUUCUGUCAGCCCACUAGAGGGCUCAAUCCAUCUCGUAGAUUCCAGGUUAGUUAUUUCCGUUUCCUUGUUUCUAGUAAUAGUAUUGUUUUUGUUCUAUAGUAUUGUAAAUAAAGCGUUCUAAACUUUC